rnacentral:rRNA from 1 species
GUUGAUAAGGUUAAGUGAAUAAGGGCGCACGGUGGAUGCCUUGGCACUAGGAGCCGAUGAAGGACGGGACUAACACCGAUAUGCUUUGGGGAGCUGUAAGUAAGCUAUGAUCCAGAGAUUUCCGAAUGGGGGAACCCAAUAUCUUUUAUAGGAUAUUACUUUUCAGUGAAUACAUAGCUGAUUAGAGGUAGACGCAGAGAACUGAAACAUCUUAGUACCUGCAGGAAGAGAAAGAAAAUUCGAUUCCCUGAGUAGCGGCGAGCGAAACGGGAAGAGCCCAAACCAACAAGCUUGCUUGUUGGGGUUGUAGGACUCCAAUAUGGUAGUCUGUUAGUAUAGUUGAAGGAUUUGGAAAAUUCCGCUAAAGAGGGUGAAAGCCCCGUAGACGAAAUGCUAACAACACCUAGGAGGAUCCUGAGUACGGCGGAACACGAGAAAUUCCGUCGGAAUCCGCGGGGACCAUCCCGCAAGGCUAAAUACUCCCUAGUGACCGAUAGUGAACCAGUACCGUGAGGGAAAGGUGAAAAGCACCCCGGAAGGGGAGUGAAAUAGAUCCUGAAACCGUGUGCCUACAACAAGUCAAAGCUCGUUAAUGAGUGAUGGCGUGCCUUUUGUAGAAUGAACCGGCGAGUUACGAUUGCAUGCGAGGUUAAGUCGAAGAGACGGAGCCGCAGCGAAAGCGAGUCUGAAUAGGGCGAAUGAGUAUGUAGUCGUAGACCCGAAACCAUGUGAUCUACCCAUGUCCAGGUUGAAGGUGCGGUAAAACGCACUGGAGGACCGAACCCACGUACGUUGAAAAGUGCGGGGAUGAGGUGUGGGUAGCGGAGAAAUUCCAAACGAACUUGGAGAUAGCUGGUUCUCUCCGAAAUAGCUUUAGGGCUAGCCUCGGAAUUGAGAAUGAUGGAGGUAGAGCACUGUUUGGACUAGGGGCCCAUCUCGGGUUACCGAAUUCAGAUAAACUCCGAAUGCCAUUCAUUUAUAUCCGGGAGUCAGACUGCGAGUGAUAAGAUCCGUAGUCGAAAGGGAAACAGCCCAGACCACCAGCUAAGGUCCCAAAAUAUAUGUUAAGUGGAAAAGGAUGUGGGGUUGCACAGACAACUAGGAUGUUGGCUUAGAAGCAGCCACCAUUUAAAGAGUGCGUAAUAGCUCACUAGUCGAGUGACCCUGCGCCGAAAAUGUACCGGGGCUAAACAUAUUACCGAAGCUGUGGACUACACCAUUAGGUGUAGUGGUAGGAGAGCGUUCUAAGGGCGUUGAAGGUCGAUCGUGAGGACGGCUGGAGCGCUUAGAAGUGAGAAUGCCGGUAUGAGUAGCGAAAGACAGGUGAGAAUCCUGUCCACCGUAUGACUAAGGUUUCCUGGGGAAGGCUCGUCCGCCCAGGGUUAGUCGGGACCUAAGCCGAGGCCGAUAGGCGUAGGCGAUGGACAACAGGUUGAUAUUCCUGUACCAGUUGUUUUUGUUUGAGCAAUGGAGGGACGCAGUAGGCUAAGGAAUGCAUGCGAUUGGAAGUGCAUGUCCAAGCAAUGAGUCUUGAGUAGAGUUAAAUGCUUUACUCUCUAAGGACAAGUUGUGACGGGGAGCGAAAUAAUAGUAGCGAAGUUCCUGAUGUCACACUGCCAAGAAAAGCUUCUAGUGAGAAAACAACUGCCCGUACCGUAAACCGACACAGGUAGUCGAGGAGAGUAUCCUAAGGUGAGCGAGCGAACUCUCGUUAAGGAACUCGGCAAAAUGACCCCGUAACUUCGGGAGAAGGGGUGCUGACUUCGGUCAGCCGCAGUGAAUAGGCCCAAGCGACUGUUUAUCAAAAACACAGGUCUCUGCAAAAUCGUAAGAUGAAGUAUAGGGGCUGACGCCUGCCCGGUGCUGGAAGGUUAAGAGGAUGGGUUAGCUUCGGCGAAGCUCAGAAUUGAAGCCCCAGUAAACGGCGGCCGUAACUAUAACGGUCCUAAGGUAGCGAAAUUCCUUGUCGGGUAAGUUCCGACCCGCACGAAAGGCGUAACGAUUUGGGCACUGUCUCAACGAGAGACUCGGUGAAAUUUUAGUACCUGUGAAGAUGCAGGUUACCCGCGACAGGACGGAAAGACCCCAUGGAGCUUUACUGUAGUUUGAUAUUGAGUGUUUGUACCACAUGUACAGGAUAGGUAGGAGCCGAUGAGACCGGA